CCGGUCCCAGGAUUUGAAUGUGAGCCUCCCACCCAUCCGCAGUAUCUUCUGAAGUGUCGUCCUCUUUACUCUUUCCUGUCAGGAUGGCUUUCCUUUGCCAACCCACUCCUUCCCAGUUGUGCCUCUGUGGACACCGACUUCUGUAGCCCUGUGAUGAACAACUCCAGCAGCCAGGCUCGAUCUGUUUUUACCUCUGUGUGAGAUCUCCCUGCUUUCCUCCAGGUGCACGGGUCCAUCCUCAGGUACAUGGGUCCAUCCUCAGGUGCACGGGUCCAUCCUCAGCCUGGAACCUGGACCUUACCGUGGCCUCCUCACACCCACCUGAUCCUCACUGUGGAGUCUCCAGUUCCACCUUUCUCCACAGUCUAUCAGGUUCACGAAGAGGCUCCUCCCCUCGCACAUCUUCCUCGGGUCCGUUCUGUUUCCAUGGGAUUUGGGCUGGAUUCAGGAUGAGCACGGAUGAGGAGGAAAAGCCACAGGAAGAGUAAAAAUACCUGGCACUUGACUUCUUCAGACACAGUCUGGAAGAUGUUGUCUUUUCCAUCAACACCCAUGAUCUUAGAAAUAAUGGUUCCUAGUUUACUGAUUUUUCUAAAGUCACUCAGAAUUGGGAGGAGAAAUCAAAAUUUUCUCAUCUCUAAGCAGCUUGACUCAUCAUAACUCCAACCCCUAAAAGGAGUUUGUUCUUGAUGUUGGAAACCAUCUGCAGCUCUGGACCCAGUCUUCCUCAUUCAGUAAUACCAAGUAGAAGUGUGUCCACUGGUCUUAAACCUCUGUCUUCCGUGACCAUUAAACUAUAAACCACAAAAGGAUUCACAGACUUCUCUUCAUUCCCAGAAUUAAGAAAUCCCACUGAGAUCUGGGAUUCAAGGGCACCUCUUGAUUAAAUUUGUCAUUCAAUUGGCUUCCUAUGAAGCUCAAGACUGAAGAAGUUUUUUUCUAUUUGCAAGUAAAGAAAUCAAUAUUUUCAUAACCUAAGCCACCAAGCCUUCUGUAGAUUUUGCAGUAUUACCAGUCUCCACUUAACCCAUUUGGGAUUUGUCUUUUAAUGUGUGUGUGUGUGUGUGUGUGUGUGUGUGUGUGUGUGUGUGUGUGUCUUCCUUUGGAAUCCUGGCUCAGGUUUCAAAGUCAUCUUAAAUGAUUUGAAAUUGCAGCUUUCUGGUAGGAAAAACAAAUCCAGCUUCAACAGUUCCUUUUGAAAACUCUGAGAUAAUGUUAGUGUGGCACCUAAGAAGGUUCUGGACAUGCAAUAAAGCUUAGCAAAUAUUAUCAGGUUACCUCUGGCAAAUAUUAUCUGCUUAUCUCUGUCAUGUCCUGCUUUUGGGCUACCUGGUGCCCUGAUAUUGAUCCCAGGGAGUAUCUGGGAAAAAAGUGAGAGACAAUGGACUUGGACUCUGGGGUUAGGGCUAGAACAGGCUCAGAGGUGUGCUGUUUAGAGCUUUUUUUUCAAGUUUAUGACAGUCUCAGUAGGAUGCUACUUGAUGGUUUGGGGCUGGGAUUAGAAGAGUCUUAAUGGGAUGCUACCUGGCAGUUUGGGCUGGGGUUAGGAGAGGCUCAGAGAAAUGUGACUUGCAGGCUUGUUCUACAGGGAAAUCUUAAAAGAGGCUGCCUACGGUAGGAAGGGUAACAUAUUUAAUUUCAAGAUAAAACUUGGUUCAAACGCUAGUGUGGCCAUGUGCAGACUCAUCUUUGGCAAGGCACGGCCAUCCUCUCCAAGCUUUAAGGACAGAGUCUAUCCCACAUCCCACCAAGGGAAUAUGACUCAGUAUUAACCAAGGAAACAUUUCAAUAUUUAAUACAAAUGCUGGGCAUAGAACAGUUACUCAAUAAUCAUUAAAUCUAAAAGCCUCAAAAAGGCUGGCUUCCUUUGUCUGAUUCUACUUCCUAUGACAUUGGUUACUCUCUUCAUGAUAUUAAUUACUGUCUGAAAUGGUCUUGAAAAUUUUGUUUACUUCCUGCCUAUUUCUAAGGUUUAGCACUGUCCCCUCAGUAGUAAAAGCACGCAUUGCCUUGUGGUAUGUCCUUCUUGGCUAUGACUUUCAAAUCCUCAAGUCAGAUCUAUCCAAUGAGGUCAAGAUUUGAUCCUCCCAACUUCCAACAAUCCUACCCGACCACUUUAGCUGUGAUGUAAUAUGCACCCCUUUGGAACUUUAAAAAACAAACAAACAAAACAGAGCAGAACACCAUCCCUCUAUAACCCAGUCUAGAACUUGCAAUGCUC
ensembl:lncRNA